AACGUAGGAGGCGAGCGUUAUCCGGAUUUACUGGGUGUAAAGCGCGAGCAGGCGGUUCGGCAAGUCAUGUGUGAAAGCGCCCAGGCUCAACCGGGCGAGGACAUGUGGAACGGCGGAACUGGAGGCAGGCAGAGGCAGACGGAAUUCCGGGUGUAGUGGUGAAAUGCGUAGAGAUCCGGAGGAACACCAGUGGCGAAGGCGGUGUGCUGGGCCUGACCUGACGCUCAGACGCGAAAGCAUGGGGAGCGAA
rnacentral:rRNA from 1 species